AAAUGACAAAUGCAUGUUUUGUUUGCUGUAUCUUUUAUUUCAAAGGAAAAAUUGGAAAUCUACUAGCCCCUGGAUUCAAGCUUUCUCAGGAAUAGACAGAACAAACACUUUGAAGGGCAACAAAAACCUGAGAUGAAAGCUCUAUUAAUGUCAUAAAUUAAUUGCGUUCAUUGAUAUGUCUAAACAUAAUAUCAAAAAAUUCUAUCCUAUUUACGAUUUGGGUUCAAAGGACUUCUUGUUAAAGAAUGCAAUAAAUGGACUUUAUGUGGUGGU